AUAAUUUAAGUUAUAUUUGUAAAAUAAAAUAAGAAUAAAAAGAAUAAAAUUAACUUAUUUUUAAGAAAAAUUUAAUAAGUAAAGACUUGAACUUAUUAAAAACUAGAGAUGAAAUUAAUUUAAAAAAAAUUAGAAAAAGAUGCAUAAACUUAAUUUUGCCUAUGUAUCCCUUUAGGAUUUAGAUGAAUCAAAAUUUUCAGUUAUAGGUUGAGAGAAGGGAGAUUGAAGUG
rnacentral:misc_RNA from 1 species